GUCAAAAAUCUUGUACCAAAGUCACUUUACUACUUCAAACUCGUCUGCCAUCUUGUUUCCUAAUGGGGUUGUUCGCUGACCACUGCAGUGCGGGCGUACAUCCUUGAACGCGCAAAAAUAUAAACAUGGAGUCGAAACCAGUAGAGAGUCCAAGUCAUAGAAGGGAAAAGCGUGAACUAAAAAAGGAAGAAAGGCCAAGAACUGCUGAGCGAUCAGAAAAAAGAAAAAAAGAUAGAAAAAGAAGAUAUUCAAGUAGUAGUUCAAGAGAAAGGUCAUCUUCAAGAUCGUCAGAUUCUUCAGAAAAAAGAAAAAAAGAUAGAAAAAGAAGAUAUUCAAGUAGUAGUUCAAGAGAAAGAUCAUCUUCAAGAUCAUCAGAUUCUUCGACAGUUGAACGAAAAAGAAGAAAACAAAAGAAAAAGAAGAUGAGAAAAAAAGAAAAGAAAGAAAAGAGAUCUGGACCCGUUCAACUUUCAAAACUUGGAUUUGAGCUGCAGUUGUGCACUGGAAUAAAAAAGGUUUUUGAAUUAAAUAUUGGCUGCACAACUUGUUGCAGUUCAUGAAAGAAAAGACUAUGAGCAGAAGUGCUGUUUCAGGGAAAAAGAUCAAAAUGAAAGUUAAAAAAUCCAGUCAUGAUAAAAAGAUGGAGAAAAAAAGGAAGGAUUUACUGUCAUUUUUGAACCAAACCAUGUAA
rnacentral:misc_RNA from 1 species